CUUCCGGGACCAGACCGGGCCCGGCUCCCGCGGCGCGCACUUCCGGGGCGGGCACCCGCGGCCGGCAGCCACUGCGCUCCCAGCGGCCGAGGAAGCGGACCCGCCCCGCCUGAGGCGGGGCCUCGCCGGAGCCCCGCCCCACCCACCGAGGCGAGGCCUCGCCGGAGCCCCGCCCCACCCACCGAGGCGGGGCCUCGCCGGAGCCCCGCCCCAGGCUCCGCCCCACCCACCGAGGCGAGGCCUCGCCGGAGCCCCGCCCCGGGCUCCGCCCCACCCACCGAGGCGGGGCCUCGCCGGAGCCCCGCCCCGGGCUCCGCCCCACCCACCGAGGCGGGGCCUCGCCGGUACCCAGGCCCGGGCCCCGCCCGCGGUCCCGAGCAGGACCGGCAGGCGCUCCCGGGGCGGUGUGAAGCUGCGGGGCCGCAUUGCCCGUACUUAACGAAUCCAGGGAAGAUAAGGAAGGGGCCCAAGGAGGACGAGACCCGUGGGAGGCCGACGACAGGGGCCCCGACACCCGUGCUAGCCCCCGCGGGUCCUCGGGUUGAGAACCUGGGGAGGCGGGCCGGGGGCCGGGCUACAGCCGCCGCGCACCGGACAGCUGCCCCGGGUCACAGCCCGGCGAGCGCAGGGACGGGGCGGGUGCUAGCGGGGCCACCCGGAAGCCGGCCGGGCACCUCCGCCAACAGUGACAGCUGAAAGCGAGCGGGUCAACAGAUCAGCGACUCCGCUUUGGUAAAAUUACCCGGGCUUUUCACUUUGUAUGCAGACGUGCAGGGCUUAACAACUCCGCACACUGCAGAGACCGGCCGAGCCCUGCGUGCGCUCACUGCGCUCCGCCCACCCGGGGCGGUUCCUCCCGCCACAGGGGGCCCAGGAAACUCAGAAGUCUAUCCGCUCCCUCCCCGCGGGCCAGUGCGUCCUCAGCGUCUGACCGCAUCCAGUCCUGGCUUCCCAAGUUCAUGGCAAACACGUAAACCUCCCUUCCUGUGAAACACAGCCAAGACCCCGUGACGGCCUUUCACUGAGGAGAAACGUUAAGAAAAAGAGAAAAAGGAGAACAAGGGCUUGAAGUUCUGGACGCCGAGGGGACAGAAGCACCCAGGGACUUAAUUUGGGCGAUCAACAGGAACCACCUGUGGUUGUUCCCUCGGCCACAAUUUCCACAAAAGAAGAGACAUGGGGGUCACACCUCUUUUAUUGAGUAGAGCUCCUCGGCCCCGCCCUCCCCGUCCAGUUCAAUUCCCAGCCGGCUUCGCAUGGAGGAAGAGUUCUACACGCCUGUACAAGAACACGCUCUCUGGAGCGCCGGCAAAGGCUGCACGCACCACGGCUGUGCAGACGCGCUGACUGGCCUCGCUGUUUGGUGCAACCUACACAUUACAGUGGUCUGCACUUUCGAAAAUAACCCGUCGCCCGUGUAUACAGUCACACCCAGCCAGGUGCCCCGUGAGCCCGGGACUCAGCAGCCGAGGCUGCUCCUCGCCCCUGCGCGGCCGCCGGACCCCAGGGAGCUGCUCCAGUCCUGGGACUCACGGCACAGGAGAAACACGGCUCAUACAGCGAUGAUUACAAGCAAAGACUUGACGUGAGCAUUAAUAACCCCACACGUGUGAUCAUUAAAAUAAAUAUAUAUUUAAUUCCAA